AGGAGAUGCAGAAGAAGGGCCUGGUUGUAAUGAACAUACCUCCAGUUCUCCCGGCCCCCCCGCUGCCUGCGCCCUCUCCAGCUACAUCUGCUCCUCAAAGCCCUGGAGAAGGUGCGGACGAGCCAGACGAGGAGCCAGACCGCGAGCCAUCGUCUGAGGAGAGCUCUGGAGAGUUCUAUCAGAGGUAAAGUUUCACAUCAUCAUUCUCAGAUAACAUGUGCAGCGAUUGGACAUGAUUUCUCUUGAACAUAUUCACAAUCAUUUGAGCACCUGGUUUAUUUUCUUUCAGCACUGAGGGACCGAGGUGGACCGAUGAAGUCAGGGUGGAGAUGUCAAAAAAGGGCCUGUACAAGAAACACUCCAUCGAUCACCCCCUCCUUCGGGGAUUUAAUCGAUAUUUGCGUGUUGACUUGGGCAACAAAAAGAGCAAACAAGAGGUAAGUGAAAGAAAAGAUACCUUUAAGUGUCACCCACACACUCACGCUUUCACACAGAAAAAUAAAGAAAUAAAUGUGAAGACAAAUGCUCUUCUGAACUGUGUGCUGCGGUCACAUGUUAACCUGUGUUAUAUUCAGCCCUGCAGAUUUUAAUGUGAAAUGUAUACUUACAGGUGGAAGAAGUCUCCAGGUUCAUGUAUUACGUGGACCCCAGUGAGCCGAACCUGAAUUUUGUGCGGGAGGUGGAGAAAGUGCGAGAGUACUUCAAUACACUGACCCAGACAAAGCUCUCGAAGCAGACGGUGCUGAACUACUGGAAGAGUCUCAAGAGGUCAGUACUGUGUAACGUAAACAUCUCAUCUGAAUUUCAACUAAUAUUUAUGGGAUGAUUAUUCGUCUUCUGACUGUAACAACCCUUCCUGUCUCUCUCUUCAAGGUUCAUGAGGUACAUUGUUACCAGCACCAGCAUCCGUGUCAAAGAUCCCAGCCUGUACAACGACUGCAAGAGCUUCACUGAUCCUCUGGAUGGCAUACGGGCUGGGAUGUCUAAGAAGGUCAACAAGGAGCAGACACAAAAAAGGUCAGUUUUUUUUUUUUUUUACUCUUUUUUUUUUUUUUUUUUAUCUAUUUAAUGGAAAGCACAGGUGAGUUCAAGUUCAACAUUACUAUUUUUUUUUUUUCCCUCAGGUUCCGCGGCUACGGCAAGGAAAAAUUUCCGGCUGACUGCAUCACAAUCUUGGAUGCUGCUUAUACGGAUUUCCUGGCUGUCAUGGGCAAACUUCAGGGUCCAGGAGCCAUUUCAGGGGAGGAACUCAGCAAAAACGAACGUCUGCUUGUCCUCUAUUAUCUUGAGGCCAUAAUUAUGCUUAAACUUCUACAACGCCCAGGGGUUGUUACGAAUAUGACCGUAAGUGUAUUUUAGUAACAACAGCAUCUUUUAUUUUCCUUUACCCAUAUGCCUCCUGAUCUUGUGCUUCACAGAUGCGUGUACCUUUUGAGUGUUUGUGACGCCUGUCAUUGAAAGCACACAACUGUCUGUUUUCAGGUUGAGGAAUGGAAGGGGAGAACCCGGCAUCCAAACGGAGCUUCCGUGGCGGUGAAGGAGCAUAAAACGGCCGCGUCGCAAAUAGCAGAAGUACCGCUGACUGAUGACCAAGAACAUUGGUUUGGCCUGUACUUCGAUGAGAUUCGGCCGGUGAUGUUACAAGGUAAUAAGUCAGUGGACAAUGCAGCAGCAGAGCAGAGUUUUUUUGUUUCAAGUACUGGAAGGCCAAUUUAUAACCCCUGCAACGACUUGAAAAGAUUCCAUGCCAAAUACAACAUUCCCAGGGUGACCAGCAGCGACGCUCGGACAGCCUUUGAGACGGCUGCUAAAAAUCUGCCGGAGGUGCAGAGGAAUGCGGUGGCACGUCUCUUGGGACACACGCCGGAAACAGCAGAGAAGCAUUACCGGAUGAAAACUCCGGCAGAUGCAUUCCUGGCCAAGGUUGUGGUCGAUGAGCUCACUGCAAAAACACGAGGUGCGUCUAGUGGGGCUUCUGGCCAAGAGAAAAGGAUGGAUGAACAGACGGCGUUUGACUUGCUGGUUCAGUCCUGCCCAGUGACUCUUGACGGGCCUCCUCCGAAAAGGGCACGCAGACACGAACUGUGCGCUGAACACGAGAGGCACUGCUACGACCGCUGGCGCAGCGAGCAGCUCAAGCUGCGUGAACAGCGUGUCCUUGAAUAUUUCGGUCGGUGUCAGCUGUCUGAGUCACAAGUGGAGGCCUGGGUGGAGAAACAAGGAUGGACGUCUAACGUCCCACAGGCUUCCCUAAUACUCAAGAAAUACUCCAAGUAGCCUUGAACAGCUCCCCUGCGGCUCUGUGGGUUACAAAAAUAAAUGUGAGCGGGCUACUUCCAAGCCACAUUAUUUUUGUGCCUACUUUUCAGCCACAAAACACCACCUCUCUUGCUCUCCAAGUUGCCCUGAAUGACUCUGUCUCUUUUUUUAGUACUUUACUCAAAGAUAUGUGAGCGGGCUAAUUUCCAAGCCACAUAUCUCUUCUCUUUGUCUACUUUUUUGUUUUCAGCCACAAAACACCACCUCUCUUGCUCUCCAAGUUGCCCUGAAUGACUCUGUCUCUUUUUUUAGUACUUUACUCAAAGAUAUGUGAGCGGGCUAAUUUCCAAGCCACAUAUCUCUUCUCUUUGUCUACUUUUUUGUUUUCAGCCACAAAACACCACCUCUCUUGCUCUCCAAGUUGCCCUGAAUGACUCUGUCUCUUUUUUUAGUACUUUACUCAAAGAUAUGUGAGCGGGCUAAUUUCCAAGCCACAUAUCUCUUCUCUUUGUCUACUUUUUUGUUUUCAGCCACAAAACACCACCUCUCUUGCUCUCCAAGUUGCCCUGAAUGACUCUGUCUCUUUUUUUAGUACUUUACUCAAAGAUAUGUGAGCGGGCUAAUUUCCAAGCCACAUAUCUCUUCUCCUUGCCUACUUUUUUGUUUUCAGCCACAAAAAAGUAAAAAAAGACCACCAAUACAGAUUUUUUUUUCUUUCAAUAUUCAUAGGCAACUGGAAGUGCACCAGCUACAAAUAACCAAACAUCAGCAGCUCACUCGAGGACCACUACAUGAGGACUCCAGAGAAGAAGAAGAAGAAGACGAAGACGAAGAAGAAGGAGGAGGAGGAUUUGACAGAGGAAGGCGCACGCUGGAUCCAUACGCUGCAUCUCAUUUCGGAGACUGCGUCCUACGGAGGUCGCAUUUGAAGGCUGCAUACGUCAUCAAGGAUGUCUUAUUUAAGAAAAGUAAACGUAAUUAAACAAACUGUUAUUCCUCGUGAGACGUAAAAUACUAUAAUUUCUUUCUUACUUUGCAAUCUAACAGUUAAUUUUUUUUCAAAUGAGACCGCCUCGAUGACAUAUGCAGCCUUCAAAAGUGACCUUCGGAGGACACAGCCUUCAAAACAAGACAGCUAUAAUCAUUAUAUUCUUAUUCUGUACAUACAGAUGCUAUUAUAAUUUUUUGUUCAUGUUUUCAAUCUACGUUUGUCAUUUCUUCUUUUGUUGUUAAUGAUCUGUAUUUGUCAUUAUUCAAGUCUUAUUUGUUGCACUUUAUUAAUCGUGUACCUGUCAUAGGUAUUCAUGUUUAUAUCAGGCAACCAAAAGUUGCAGAGGUCAGAGUGUCAAAAUGCUCAAAGACAAACUAAUUUUGUUAAAACUCUAAUAGAAAGUUGACAUUUUUAUACUUGUAUUGAUUUUUCAUGUUUUUUUUCCUCUGUUGUGCA